AUGAACUGAUAUUUUAGGGGAGGGUAAUUUAGGUAUUAUCGUAAUGAGUAGCUUAGGGAAUAAGCUAGGUAGUUUUGUUAAGAAAAUUACUCUAUAUAUAGGGUUAAUUAGAGAGAAGAAAGGAGGUGGAAAAUUGUUGAGAAUAUUAGGGAGCUUUUAAGAGUUCAUUUGGGAGUGUGUCAAGUCACUCGAAUACUUGGCAAUCUAUCUUUAAUUUCUGUAAUUUUCAGUUUAUCAAUCAAAUCUUCAUCUUCUUCCUCAA